rnacentral:rRNA from 1 species
CCAACAGGGAUUGCCUCAGUAACGGCGAGUGAAGCGGCAACAGCUCAAAUUUGAAAUCUGGCUCUUUCAGGGUCCGAGUUGUAAUUUGUAGAGGGUGUUUCGGGUGCGGCGCCGGUCUAAGUCCCUUGGAACAGGGCGUCAUAGAGGGUGAGAAUCCCGUAUGUGACUGGCGACCAACCCCGUGUGAAACCCCUUCGACGAGUCGAGUUGUUUGGGAAUGCAGCUCAAAAUGGGUGGUAAAUUUCAUCUAAAGCUAAAUACCGGCCAGAGACCGAUAGCGCACAAGUAGAGUGAUCGAAAGAUGAAAAGCACUUUGGAAAGAGAGUCAAAAAGUACGUGAAAUUGUUGAAAGGGAAGCGCUUGCGACCAGACCUGUCCGCCGGCGAUCAGCCUCGGUUUUCCGGGGUGCACUCGUCGGCGAUCAGGCCAGCAUCGGUUCGGGCGGCGGGUAAAAGGCCUUGGGAAUGUGGCUUCCUCUCGGGGAAGUGUUAUAGCCCUCGGUGCAAUACCGCCAGCCCGGACCGAGGACCGCGCUUCGGCUAGGAUGCUGGCGUAAUGGUCGUAAGCGACCCGUCUUGAAACACGGACCAAGGAGUCUAAUAUCUAUGCGAGUGUUUGGGUGUCAAACCCAUACGCGUAAUGAAAGUGAACGGAGGUGAGAACCCUUAAGGGCGCAUCAUCGACCGAUCCAGAUGUCUUCGGAUGGAUUUGAGUACGAGCAUAGCUAUUGGGACCCGAAAGAUGGUGAACUAUGCCUGAAUAGGGUGAAGCCAGAGGAAACUCUGGUGGAGGCUCGCAGCGGUUCUGACGUGCAAAUCGAUCGUCAAAUUUGGGUAUAGGGGCGUGCUUUCGCCCCUGACAGGCCGUGCCCCCCGGGGCAUGGCUCCUAGUCUUUCGAGGCGAGGUCUACGAUCUGCGGGGAUGUCUGGUUCGGUCGGACUGCCCGCACCCAGCCGUUUUAAGGCUCGGGUCACAGGUCAAGCAUAGGCCGGAGGCCGGUUUUCGGCCACUUCUGAUAUGAUCGCACCGGGGUUGAUGAAGCCCCGGGCCAAUGGGAAAGACUAAUCGAACCAUCUAGUAGCUGGUUCCUGCCGAAGUUUCCCUCAGGAUAGCAGUAACGUUUUCAGUUUUAUGAGGUAAAGCGAAUGAUUAGAGGCCUUGGGGUUGAAACAACCUUAACCUAUUCUCAAACUUUAAAUACGUAAGAAGUCCUUGUUACUUAGUUGAACGUGGACAUUUGAAUGUACCGUUACUAGUGGGCCAUUUUUGGUAAGCAGAACUGGCGAUGCGGGAUGAACCGAACGCGAGGUUAAGGUGCCGGAAUGUACGCUCAUCAGACACCACAAAAGGUGUUGAUUCAUCUAGACAGCCGGACGGUGGCCAUGGAAGUCGGAACCCGCUAAGGAGUGUGUAACAACUCACCGGCCGAAUGAAUCAGCCCUGAAAAUGGAUGGCGCUCAAGCGUGCUACCCAUACCUCGCCGCCAGGGUAGAAACGAUGCCCUGGCGAGUAGGCAGGCGUGGGGGUCAGUGACGAAGCCUUGGGAGCGAUCCCGGGUCGAACGGCCCCUAGUGC